rnacentral:rRNA from 1 species
AGCAGCCGCGGUAAUUCCAGCUCCAAUAGCGUAUAUUAAAGUUGUUGCAGUUAAAAAGCUCGUAGUUGAAUUUCGGGGUUAGUAAGUUGGUCAUGCCUUCGGUAUGUACUGGCUUUACUGAUUCCUCCUUCUUGACGAACCGUGAUGUCAUUAAUUUGGUGUUGCGGGAAAUCAGGACUGUUACUUUGAAAAAUUAGAGUGUUUAGAGCAGGCUAACGCUUGAAUACAUUAGCAUGGAAUAAUGAAAUAGGACGUUAAUCCUAUUUUGUUGGUUUCUAGGAUCGACGUAAUGAUUAAUAGGGAUAGUUGGGGGCAUUAGUAUUCAAUUGUCAGAGGUGAAAUUCUUGGAUUUAUUGAAGACUAACUACUGCGAAAGCAUUUGCCAAGGAUGUUUUCAUUAAUCAAGAACGAAAGUUAGGGGAUCGAAGACGAUCAGAUACCGUCGCAGUC